UGUAGCUGUUCUAUGGGUUUUUGUUUACUUGGAACUUGAAUGUUAAAUGGUAUAGAAGGGUAAGAAACAAGAACUUGGGGGCUACACAAGACAGAACUGGCCUUGAAAUAACUCAGAUGCGCAGAACUUUCCACAGGCUGUACAUCAAGGGAGACGGCAGACUGGAGACAGAAAGCUUGCCUGUCUGUCCUUGGGCUCUGGGUAGGGCAAGAUUUUACCUGGAUGAGUCCAUGUGCACUGGCCUGCAUGUCAUCUAAGUUAGAAUUUGAACUUGCCCUACUCAUGUUCCAAUUGAGAAACUGAACAAUCAGGCCGGGUGCAG
rnacentral:lncRNA from 1 species